rnacentral:lncRNA from 9 species
CUGUGAGUCACGACGAGAAAGGUUGAGAAAGGUUGUUAGGGACAGUGGUGCAAAGUACGUAGCAUCGGGAAGGCCUGCUCUCCCUCCCCCUGCCUGAGUCUCCUAUUGCCAAAGUAUUCCAAAGAGAAGUAUUACGUGUCUAAGAAGAGAAAAGAGGUGACGCAUUGGGAGGAUGGAGCGUGAACACAGGAGCACCCUGUGGGAAGAGUAGGGAAGCGGAAAUGAUCUCCUGCCAUUUCAGCAGAUGGAGGAAUGGGGCCGGAGGUGAAAAUGGGCAGGAGGACUCGGGAGGCUCUCUGGUGGCAGCAGAGCCGGCAUGCUCGUGUUGGCCAUUUCUCAGCUGGGGAAUCCGCCACGGAGAGGUUCCCUUUAGCAAGAGAGGCAGAGGCUCCCUUUCUCAGGUCUUUCAGGGUGCUGUCUGCCUUCCUUCGAGACGUUUCCCCAGGAGGAUGGGCCAAGAGGAGCUCCGUCCGUGCCUCAUCCCGCCCCCGCCCCCAGCCCCAGCCCUCGACUCCCAGCCCCUGUCCAGUCAGGUGAGGCGCCCAGAGUACCUCGUGAGCAGCACCACCGCCUUGCUGACAGUGACUUGUGUGUCCCCAGGAACUCACGACGACGAUGUUGUGGAGGCCGGUGGGAGUGAGAAGACUGAGGCAAAGCCCCGGGCUGGGGGACAUGAGGACGAGGCGGCCCCAGUACCUGAGGUGGAGGUGGAGGAGGAGGCGGGCCAGCCCCGUGAAAAUGGCCAGGAGGAGUCCUUAGCCAUCGCCUGGGCUGAGCCGGAAGACGAGCCUGGCCCCAAGGUGGACGGGGCGGACGAUGAAAUCUCUUGGAGCUUGGAGAGUGUGUGUGAGAGCGACCUCGCUGACAGCAACCUCGCAGAAAGUGAUCGAGACUCGGUGGCGGAGCGCACCGACUGCCGCCAGGAUGAGGAGGCUGCAGGAACUCACGACGACGAUGUUGUGGAGGCCGGUGGGAGUGAGAAGACUGAGGCAAAGCCCCGGGCUGGGGGACAUGAGGACGAGGCGGCCCCAGUACCUGAGGUGGAGGUGGAGGAGGAGGCGGGCCAGCCCCGUGAAAAUGGCCAGGAGGAGUCCUUAGCCAUCGCCUGGGCUGAGCCGGAAGACGAGCCUGGCCCCAAGGUGGACGGGGCGGACGAUGAAAUCUGUGAGUAUUCUGGAGCCCGGCUCUGCUGAGGAGAAGUCCAGGUGUUGAGGAAAUGGGGGGGGGCCCGCGAGGGAGGCGGGGUGGGGGGGCUCUCCUGCUCCUUUGGUUGCAGAGACACCCUGAUUCUGGGUUCCUCCUGGGAAUGAGGGUGAAGGAUGGGGUGAAAGAGACGGACUUCCCAAGAAGGGCCACCCCAGGUUCUAGGGUCCCUGGACGAAAGGAGGCUCUUUGUAUGGCGUGGGUAGGUGUCGGGGGACACGGCCGGGGGGGUGGGAGGGUGGUGCGUGUGAGGGCCUGCUGGUGUGAUUGGCAAUCAGUGUGAGUGGGUGUGUGCUGUGGGGAGCUGUUUGUGGCUUAGCACCACACAGCUGUCCAGCUUCUAAUUGAGGAGUCUCACGAUGACCGCAGGCUAACCGUCCAUUCCCUCGUUCUGCCCGCACCGGCUGGGAGCAAGGGUUUGGGGGAAAGGCAUUGCUUCCUCUGUUGGUCUUUCUUUUCCUUUUCGCUUCCCUCUCUGCCUUGUGUGGACUUUGAUACCGUUGUUUCAAACACGUGCCAGGGACUCGAGCCCCUUCAGGCUGUGAGUGUCCCGAGGAGUGUUGUGAACGCUGUGCUCCACCCGCACCUCCUGCCCACUCUGGGCAGCCACCCUUCCAGCCUCUGCUCAGGAGUGGUGUGUCAGACACUUGAUGCGCAUGACAUCAGAGAGUCUUUGUCCUUCUGUGCCUGACUUGCUUCGCUUGAAAUGCUG